AAGGCCCUUCGGGGUACACGAGUGGCGAACGGGUGAGUAACACGUGGGUAAUCUGCCCUGCACAUCGGGAUAAGCCUGGGAAACUGGGUCUAAUACCGAAUAGGACCACAGAACACAUGUCCUGUGGUGGAAAGCUUUUGCGGUGUGGGAUGGGCCCGCGGCCUAUCAGCUUGUUGGUGGGGUGAUGGCCCACCAAGGCGACGACGGGUAGCCGGCCUGAGAGGGUGUCCGGCCACACUGGGACUGAGAUACGGCCCAGACUCCUACGGGAGGCAGCAGUGGGGAAUAUUGCACAAUGGGCGAAAGCCUGAUGCAGCGACGCCGCGUGGGGGAUGACGGCCUUCGGGUUGUAAACCUCUUUCACCAUCGACGAAGGUCCGGGUUUUCUCGGGCUGACGGUAGGUGGAGAAGAAGCACCGGCCAACUACGUGCCAGCAGCCGCGGUAAUACGUAGGGUGCGAGCGUUGUCCGGAAUUACUGGGCGUAAAGAGCUCGUAGGUGGUUUGUCGCGUUGUUCGUGAAAUCUCACGGCUUAACUGUGAGCGUGCGGGCGAUACGGGCAGACUUGAGUACUGCAGGGGAGACUGGAAUUCCUGGUGUAGCGGUGGAAUGCGCAGAUAUCAGGAGGAACACCGGUGGCGAAGGCGGGUCUCUGGGCAGUAACUGACGCUGAGGAGCGAAAGCGUGGGGAGCGAACAGGAUUAGAUACCCUGGUAGUCCACGCCGUAAACGGUGGGUACUAGGUGUGGGUUUCCUUCCUUGGGAUCCGUGCCGUAGCUAACGCAUUAAGUACCCCGCCUGGGGAGUACGGCCGCAAGGCUAAAACUCAAAGAAA
rnacentral:rRNA from 1 species